UCUCCGUUGGUGAACCAGCGGAGGGAUCAUUACCGAGUUUACAACUCCCAAACCCCUGUGAACAUACCGUUUUCGUUGCCUCGGCGGGAGGCCCCGGGGGCGUUUCGUGAAAGGGGGAGGACAACCACGCGUUUCCCCCCUCCUCCCGAUCCGCCCUCCCGGACCCCAUGGCUGCCCGCCGGAGGACCCAAAACAAACUCUUGCAUCUUACGAGGAUUCAUACUCUGAGUACAUAUGGCGAAAGCCGAAAAUAAAUCAAAACUUUCAACAACGGAUCUCUUGGCUCUGGCAUCGAUGAAGAACGCAGC
rnacentral:misc_RNA from 1 species